rnacentral:misc_RNA from 1 species
UGGUUCUCGCAUCGAUGAAGAACGCAGCGAAAUGCGAUACGUAGUAUGACUUGCAGACGUGAAUCAUCGAAUCUUUGAACGCACAUUGCGCCUUGGGGCAUUCUCCAAGGCAUGCCUGUUUGAGCGUGAUUUCUUCUCACCGCCCAGGUGGUUUUGCAUCCGCUAAAUAACAUAUCCGCAGCGAAGUCUACGCUUUCACUGCACCAUGCUAUUUCCUCAAAUCAGGUAGGACUACCCGCUGA